rnacentral:lncRNA from 1 species
CAACACUGCAUCUCAAUGUUGUACAUUGCAUUCUGGAUGCUUUUUUUUUAUUGACAGCAAAAGAAACAGUGUCUUCAUCUACCCUUGUGGUGCUGGAUUGGGUUACCACCUCUCUCCUUUCCUUUCCUUUUUCUGACAAGAUUUUUGACAGCUCCAUGGGAGGCAGGGCAGCUCCCUCUUCCCUGGCCAUCCUUCUGUAGCUCUGAUGUGUUGUGGAGAUGCUGUCUUCAGAUCCAUGAAGCAGUGGCAAGAGCAGAGAUGACCCUUGCCUUGAGGUCAACAAAAGUGAGGCUGGAAGAUAAGGAGGCCAUUUCCAUCUUCACCAUGCCAUGGCGAUCACUUAAGGAACCAAAGGGUCCACUAUCUGCUGUAAGCCAAAAGGAGAGGAGCUUUUAUCUGUAGAGGUUAUCAGCCAUGUGCCCCAGAAGAUGUUGACCUGGGCAGAGAGGCUAACCAGAGCUUUAGCCCCUGUCUACAGGGUGAGGUGUGAUGGGACCAACAAGAGACAGGGUGAGGAGCUACUGUCUGCAGACCUGGAAGUCCAAAUCUAGGGAUGACAGCAAAGGGCAAUCGGUUUCUUUGUGAGCGAUGCGUCGGGAAGGUUGCAUGUAGAUGUCCUACGUACUGCUUGGAAAAAUCCCUCAACUAGUAUGGCCAACAUGGUAGCCAUACUCACCAACUUUGAGAAGAGCAGGAUUCUGGGGGACAUAGAAUUUGCUUCUUCCCCACGAUGGACAAUGACACUAUCCUGGGUUCAUUGGUAAUACCUAAAGUAUUUGUGUUUUCAUAAUCAUAGGCUGAUCAAUGUUUCUUCAACUCAGAAUUCACUACUAGAUAUAAUCUAAUCUACACUUGGCACUGAUUCAUCAACUCUGCAAUUUCCAUUGUGGGACACAGUAGACCACACAGCCACAACAUCUGUCCAAAGUUUGGACCUUGCUAUUUCUUCGGUUUUCCCUCAUUUGUUUGGAAAUACUACCUAAAUGAAGAAUUCUGAAUAACUUGGAUGUCCUGAUGCGUCUGUUGCAUUUUGACUGCCCUUAUUAACCUACAACCUGUCUCUAGGUUUUAAUUCAGCACCCUAUGGACCAUUAAUGUUACCUUUGCUUUUAAAAUUUCUUCAAGCAUCUAUUUCAUUCAUGCAGUGGAAAAAGAUCAUUACAUUAAUGUUGUCAAUAUAUUUAUUUACCUGAAAUGGGCAGGGUAUCCUUCCCCUCCCAUCCCAAAUGCCUUGUUUCUCAAAGUGUUAAAAGAACUCAGAGGAAACAUAAAUGAAAAUAUGUUAUACCAUGAAGAAGAAAACAAACCCAGGAAAACAGAACAAAUUAAACCACAAGUCAUCUUGACCAGCUAGCCUGCUUAAGGCUUGGCCAGACAGAGUUGCAGGUAUGUGCACUAGACCAUUUAUGGACUCCGAAGUUAUUUUCCAGAAAGAGUAAAUGAACAUUUGUCCAGGCUAACAGAAAUUCAUCAUUCUGACAUAUUAGGAAAAACCACGUCUAAUAAAUGUUGGAAAUGCAAUUAAAAAGCUGGUACU